CGCUUCCGGUGACUGGACUCCAUUCCUGAUUGCGCAGAGGGCUGUUGUCUGUGAUGGUGAUCUCUCCAGCCCUUCCCGGAAAUGCCCAUCUGCCACUUCCAGUGCAGCUUGGACUUAACCUGACCAGGGGCAGGGAAGGAAUGAAGAAAGGACAGACAAACAUACAGAAAAGCUAUGGCCAGAGAAAUGCAUCACAGAUGAUGUCUUGCAUGGAGCUGAAGGCCACAAUGAGAAACCACAUGGACUACUAACUUCUCAAGAUACCUGCCCCCAUGGACUUUCACAGGAGGGCUCUGACUGAUGCCUGCCUCCCUCCCGACCUGGGACAUAGUGCAUCCUGGUUGUCUACAGAAGCUCGGGGACUGAGAACUAACCCCAUACCACUUUCGCUGGGGAAUUCUUUGAAUCCUAGAGGCAUCAGGCCUGAGUCCAGAUUGUUCUGACCCCAUAGUUCAGGGUCAGAGCCCUGUCCCACCUGCCUGGUGACCCAAGAUGCAGUUCUAUCCUAAAAGCUUUGACUGGUGGCGCCUGCCCCUGCUGCAUCACCCCGCAUGAGAGAGCUGGAUGAGAUAAGGUCUGCUCAGGGAUCCAGCUGUGGUCGCAAAAGCUCUUUGCACACAUGCCCAAGCCUUCCUUUAUUUAUUCGUUUCCACUUACACCUCUCCAACUCAGCAAGCGUGGGUCAUAAGUGGGGAGGGGAAGGUGACCCACUCAUGGUUUUCUACAGCCUGACUUCCCACAGAAAGGCCCCAAGUUGAUGAUUCCAGGGUUUCCCGGCAAAGAACAACAUUCCAGGCAAAGGCUCCUGUGGCCAAAGAAUGCCUUUGGCCCAGGGAAAGGCAAUCUGCCACCCACGCUCACAACUCGGUGGGAGAUCCUAGCUAGACAGCAAAAAAGACAAAAAAGAAAAAGAAAAAAAAAUGGGUAGCAUUAAUUUAGCACCUACUGUGUUCCCAGUAGCUGCUAGAGAUUUCAUUGCAUUUAGAUCCUUUAUCCUUAAAACAAUCACACUGAGUCCCAAUUCCCCUGGCCUAUAGAGCUUGUAAACACCAGGCUGGGAUCUGAUUUCAUUGUUCUGGGUGGGCCAGGCACAGGACUUUCUCAAAAUGCCCCAGGGCAUUUGAGUGUGUGGUCAAUGCUGCCAACAGGGCCCUAGUCAGCCAUUCUUGACCUUCCAAGGGCAUACAAAUGAAUCCCAUGAAUAUUGUUAAAAUACAGAUUGCAAUUCAGCAGGGCCGGGUAGGACCUUUCUAACUAGCUCUCAGACUAUGCAGAAACCUCUGAGCCUUGGACCAAGCUUUGUAGAACAAGAGUGUAGUCUGGCUGUAAACCUCAUGGCAAUAAAAA